rnacentral:lncRNA from 1 species
GAUCUCUCUUAUUAAUGAACAAUAGAGGUUCCUUUUAUAAGGAUUACAAAGUAUAAGUAAAAAGGAAAUUAUCCAAAACCUAAUCUAAUAGGAAAUAGGAAAACAACUAAAACAUAGAAAAGGAAACUUGAAGUCUUGGCCGACUAGGAUCUUGGCCGCCGACUCUCUCUCCUCCAUUGGCUACGGCUGGGCCUUGUCCUGGUCUUGGUUAUGGGUCAUCCACUUAAUGAUUUAUAACAACUAUAUAUUUAUAAUAAUUUCGUCAAAUUGUAAGUUUCUAUGCACAUUUUUUUUCUGUCAAACAGUUUCUAUGCACAUUUUGAAUUCCAGAUUAUGUCAACAAUUUUUGCUUUUUAAUGUUUAUACAAAACAAUGGAUAUUAUAUUUUAUCCAAGUGAGCCUCAAAACAUAAGGUCUUCCACAUUUAUAAAAUUUAUUACUAUCAGCAGUAUUUAACAAAUCAUAUGUAUCUCAUAUUAAAAAUAACAAUAUUCAAAUUUUAUAGAAAAAUAGACAAAAAUAUAUCCAUGCUUGCAGA